rnacentral:lncRNA from 1 species
CCGAAAGUUUCAGGUUACCAUAGUUAAGGGUUUUGAUUUUCCUAAGCUCAAUUGUAAGUGAUUUCUUGCCCCGUUUUUAAUUAUUUUCGUAUUUUUAUGCUUAUUGAAGCUUGAAUUUCAUGUUUCUACCAUUUAAUUUAAAUGAAAUUAAAGUUUAAAAAUUGACCCAUUCAUGAUAUAAUUGUAAAUUGAUUAGUGAUGUUAGAUAAUGAAUGUUUGAAGUGUUAAUUACAAGUUUUACUAGAUGAAUUUCAAUGAAAAAUGUUGAAAAAGGGCUAAAUUGUGAAAGAUGGUAAAGUGUGCAUAAAGUUGUGAUUUUGUGAAAUUGAGGCCCGUUAUGAGCAUGAAAUAUGAUUUAGUGAAGUUUGAAAUUUAAGAAUUUAGAGAAUUUUAUUUUUACGAGCUUAGGGACAAAAGUGGAAUUUUUGAAAAGUUAUGGGGAAAAAUGUAAAUGUGUCAAAAUGUUGUGUAUGAAUUGUAUUUGAAUGGAAUAUUGAUAAAAUGUAUUAAAUUGUGUUAAUAUAGAUCAAGAAAGAAGAAAUAGUGCAAGUGAUCGGGGAAAAGAGAAAGUUAUCGACUAAAUUACAAAAAUAGUCGUUUUGCAUCCGAGGUAAGUUAUAUGUAAAUAAUAGUUAUAUUUGUAUAAAUUGUGAAUUAUAUUUGAUAUGUGAAUUAAUAUUGAAUGUGGAAGGAAAGUUGUUCAUGAAUUAUUCAAGUGAUAAAGUGUUGAAAAUAAAGUGUUAAGUGUAAAUUCCCGGUUGAACUUAGGAAUAGAAUUGGAUACAAGUGACAUGUCACUAGAGACCAGUGUUACAGUGUUACAGUGAGUCCCGGGUGCUGGGUGAUCUAGCAUGUGUUGCAGACACCUGACAGCUUGUGUGAGCAGACCCGUGGACAUUUCCAGUGUUAUUGAUCAGUGGUAGCUUCGGCUACAUUUCAGUGGUAGCUUUGGCUACAUCCAGUGGUAGCUUCGGCUACAUAUCAGUGGUAGCUUCGGCUACAUAUCAGUGUGGCACUUAUGUGCUAAAUCUCUACGUAUCCGUGUAUAUUCCAAGUGUUCAACGGGAUUAAUAAUGAAUUAAAGUGAAUAUGAAAUGUUAAGUGUGAAAAUGUAUAUGCAAGUGAAUUGGUAAGAUUGUGUAUGUGUAAGUGAUUGAAAUUGCUAAGAAAUGUUUUGAUUAGUUAUAUGUUAGAAGUGUUAAUUAUUAAUUGAGUAAUUAUUGUUUACAUGUAACUUACUAAGCUAUUUAUAGCUUACACAUCUCUUUCUUUCCUUUGUUUUAUAGUGAUUUGAACUUGAUCGAAUAGUGGAUCGUCGGAGCUCGUAUCACACUAUCAUAACCAUCUCGGUAUUAUGUGCUUUUCAAAAUGUUUAAACUAUGGCAUGUAUAGAGUCUUAAUCAUUUUGAGCAUGUCCAAAUGAUAUGGCUAAUGUUAGCUAUUGAAGUAGUUAUUAAAGAAUAUGUUUUGGAGUUAUGUAUGUUUAAAUGGUAACUAAUUCAAAGAAGCAGUUUCUUUGACAGUAGCAGUGACGUGAAUGUGAAAAAUCACCAUAAAUAGUAGAAAUGGAA